AACGUACCUGAUCUCGUCUGGUCUCAGAAGCUAAG
rnacentral:rRNA from 1 species